rnacentral:rRNA from 1 species
AUUGAACGCUGGCGGCAUGCUUUACACAUGCAAGUCGAACGGUAACAGGCCGCAAGGUGCUGACGUGUGGCGAACGGGUGAGUAAUGCAUCGGAACGUGCCCAGUCGUGGGGGAUAACGCAGCGAAAGCUGCGCUAAUACCGCAUACGAUCUAUGGAUGAAAGCGGGGGACCGUAAGGCCUCGCGCGAUUGGAGCGGCCGAUGUCAGAUUAGGUAGUUGGUGGGGUAAAGGCUCACCAAGCCAACGAUCUGUAGCUGGUCUGAGAGGACGACCAGCCACACUGGGACUGAGACACGGCCCAGACUCCUACGGGAGGCAGCAGUGGGGAAUUUUGGACAAUGGGCGCAAGCCUGAUCCAGCAAUGCCGCGUGCAGGAAGAAGGCCUUCGGGUUGUAAACUGCUUUUGUACGGAACGAAAAGGCUCUGGUUAAUACCUGGGGCUCAUGACGGUACCGUAAGAAUAAGCACCGGCUAACUACGUGCCAGCCGCCGCAGUAAUAC